rnacentral:rRNA from 1 species
UACGUAGGGGGCUAGCGUUGUCCGGAAUCAUUGGGCGUAAAGCGUGCGCAGGCGGCGCGUUUAAGACAGGUGUGAAAGCCCCGAGCUUAACUUGGGAAUUGCGCUUGUGACUGGCGUGCUGGAGUGUGGCAGAGGGAGGUGGAAUUCCACGUGUAGCAGUGAAAUGCGUAGAGAUGUGGAGGAACACCGAUGGCGAAGGCAAUCCCCUGGGCCUGUACUGACGCUCAUGCACGAAAGCGUGGGGAGCAAACAGG